CCUACGGGGAGCAGCAGUCGAGAAUCAUUCACAAUGGGGGAAACCCUGAUGGUGCGACGCCGCGUGGGGGAAUGAAGGUCUUCGGAUUGUAAACCCCUGUCAUGUGGGAGCAAAUUAAAAAGAUCGUACCCCAAGAGGAAGAGACGGCUAACUCUGUGCCAGCAGCCGCGGUAAUACAGAGGUCUCAAGCGUUGUUCGGAAUCACUGGGCGUAAAGCGUGCGUAGGCUGUUUCGUAAGUCGUGUGUGAAAGGCGCGGGCUCAACCCGCGGACGGCACAUGAUACUGCGAGACUAGAGUAAUGGAGGGGGAACCGGAAUUCUCGGUGUAGCAGUGAAAUGCGUAGAUAUCGAGAGGAACACUCGUGGCGAAGGCGGGUUCCUGGACAUUAACUGACGCUGAGGCACGAAGGCCAGGGGAGCGAAAGGGAUUAGAUACCCUGGUAGUC
rnacentral:rRNA from 1 species